UAAGCUCGUCUUAGUUUUCCUCU
rnacentral:miRNA from 1 species